rnacentral:rRNA from 1 species
UAUGAGGAGGAAUGUAUAGCAAUAGCUGAUUGCACCAACAAACAGUUGAUGCAAAAUUGAUUAUAUCAAAUAAAAUUCUAGGUAGAUUUUUGAUAAUGACAUUGCUUACCUAAGUCUUGACCAAAUUACGUGCCAGCAGUCGCGGUAAUACGUAAAAGACUAGUGUUAUUCAUCUUUAAUUGGUUUAAAGGGUACCUAGACAGCGAAUAAAGCCAUAGUAGGGACUAAUUCGCUAGAGUUACUUAUGAGGGGGUAUUAAAGUACUGCAGGUGUAGAGAUGAAAUUUUGUUAUACCUCUUUUCGUAUGAAAAACUAUGGCACAGGUAUAGGUGAAAGCAUCCCCUUAUGUGAUAACUGACGUUGAGGGACGAAGGCUUUGUGUCGCGAACAGGAUUAGAUACCCCAAUAGUCAAAGCAGAAAAUGAUGAAUGUCAUAGAUUAGAUCUACAAUUUAUUCUAUAAAUGAAAGUGUAAGCAUUCCACCUCAAGAGUAAUUUGGCAACAUUGGAACUGAAAUCAUUAGACCGUUUCUGAAACCAGUAGUGAAGUAUGUUGUUUAAUUUGAUGAUACGCAAAAAACCUUACCACAAUUUGAAUAUUUAUAUAUAUCUUUUAUUGAUUUUUACUAACAUAUUUGUAGACAAUUAAAAUGAUGCUUAUAUCUCGUCUGUGGGACUAACCAUCAAAAAAGAUAAUAUAUUUACAAGCGUUGCACGGCUGUCUUCAGUUAAUGUCGCGAGAUUUUGGUUAGUUCCAUUUAAAUUAACGUAAACCCUUACUUUUAUUUUAUAUAUAAAGUAGUUCUCCCGCCUAUAUUGGGAUAUGAUAAACCGGGGACUUAAGAACAAGUCC